rnacentral:rRNA from 1 species
ACUGCUCAGUAACACGUGGACAACCUACCCUGAGGAGGGGGAUAACCCCGGGAAACUGGGGAUAAUACCCCAUAGACUAUGGAUGCUGGAAUGCUCUGUAGUUAAAAGGCCCGCCGCCUCAGGAUGGGUCUGCGGCCGAUUAGGUUGUUGUUGGGGUAACGGCCCAACAAGCCUGUAAUCGGUACGGGUUGUGGGAGCAAGAGCCCGGAGAUGGAUUCUGAGACACGAAUCCAGGCCCUACGGGGCGCAGCAGGCGCGAAGACUUUACAAUGCGAGCAAUCGUGAUAAGGGAACUCCGAGUGCCCGUAAAAUCGGGCUGUCCGCCAGUGUAGAUAACUGGUGAAGAAAGGGCCGGGCAAGACCGGUGCCAGCCGCCGCGGUAAUACCGGCGGCUCGAGUGGUGGCCACUAUUACUGGGCUUAAAGCGCUCGUAGCUGGUCUGUUAAGUCUCUGGGGAAAUCUUCCGGCUUAACCGGAGGGCGUCUCAGGGAUACUGACAGACUAGGGACCGGAAGAGGUGAGAGGUACUCCAGGGGUAGGAGUGAAAUCCUGUAAUCCUUGGGGGACCACCUGUGGCGAAGGCGUCCCACCAGGACGGCUCCGACAGUGAGGAACGAAAGCUGGGGGAGCAAACCGGAUUAGAUACCCGGGUAGUCCCAGCUGUAAACGAUGCGCGUUAGGUGUAUCGGUGACCACGAGUCACCGAGGUGCCGAAGAGAAAUCGUGAAACGCGCCGCCUGGGAAGUACGGUCGCAAGGCUGAAACUUAAAGGAAUUGGCGGGGGAGCAC